rnacentral:rRNA from 1 species
AAAUUUUUAUACCAGGCAUUCAAUAGUAAUCUUGAUAAAAAAUGUAAAAGGGGCGUUUCGCCACGAAAUUUAUGAGUAGGCAUUGGCUUGUAAUUUAUAAAUUCCCCAUGAGUAAACUCUAUGUUAAAGUAAAAAUUUAUAGUAAUGCGAAUUGAAUCAUCUUAGUAGCAUUAAUAAAAAUCAACCGAGAAAUCGUGAUUAAUGGCGAGUAAAAGCGAUUUAGAGCUUAAAGUUCAAAAAUUUUAACUUAUGAAAUUACUUUAAAAGGUAAAAGUCCUGUAAUAAGUUAAAAACUUGACAUUGAUAAGUAGUGUGAAAUUUUCCUUUUGCGCGAAUAAAGGAGAACCACCUUCUAAGCUUCUUGACUUUUUUUAAUCGAUAGUGAACGAGUACUGUGAAGAAAAGAUGAAAAAUUCCGUAAGGUUACAAUUUUAAAUUGAAUGUCUUUAAAUAUUCGAAAUUUCAUUGUAGAUAACGAAGUUCCUUUUGCAUAAUGAGUCAGUAAGUUAAUAAGUAUAGCAAGCCGAUAUAUUUAUAAGUAGGCCAGGUUAAAGUAAUAUUUAUUAAACCCGAAACCAAGUGAUCUAGUCAUGAGCAAGUUGAAAAUUCUUUAAUAAGUUUUCGAGGACUAAACUCAUAUAUGUAGCAAGAUAUAGGGAAGACUUAUGGCUAGGAGUGAAAGUCUAAUCAAACUUGGAAAUAGCUGGUUUUUCACGAAACGUAUUUUAGUACGGCAUUAAUUAUUUUGUAAAUCUGAGGUAAAGUUCAAGUCAAGUUGAGGGAUUUUUAAUUUACUUAACUUAAUUUAUCUUCUAAGUUUGAUUUAAUAAAAUUAAUAGAAAGUCUUUAGGCGAUAAGGUUUAAAGACUAAAGGGCAACAACCCAGAUCGCAUGUUAAGAUCUUAAAAGUAUAUUUUUUAGUGUGAAAGUUUUUAAAAGAGUCAAAUAGCUUUGAAUAGGCUUAGAAGCAGCCUUUUAUUAGAGAAAGCGUUUUAGCUCGCUAUUGCUUUUUUUUAAAUUAAGAUAAUAAAGGCUCAAAUUAUAUAUCGAAACAGCGAACCGAAUUAACUCGGUGGUAGUGAAACGUUCUGUAAAUUUUAUUUUAAUUUUAAAAUUAAUUUAAGAAUUCAGGAGUGUCUAUGCUGACAUGAGUAGCGUAAACUAUGUUAAAAAAUCAUAGUCACUUUAUGUUUAAGGUUUUCAAUGUAAUUUUAAGUUCAUUGAGUUAAUCGGUCCUUAAGAGAAAAAAAUUGUGAAAAUGAUACUCGAUAGGAAUUACUAUGAAAUCUGCUAUAUGUGGUACUUUAUAUCAUUUAAAAGAGUUUAAAUAAUUUAAAAAGUGGUUUUAAAAAUUGAGAUUUAUUCUCUUCGAGAAAAAAUUAUAGCUACAAAGACCGUAUUUAAACCGACACAGGGAAACUUAUUGAGUAUAUUAAAGUGAAUGAACAAAUUAUAUUUAAGGAAUUAGGCAAAUUAACUUCGUAAGUUCGCAAUAAGAAGUGCCUUUUAGAGGCAAAAUAAAAAAAAGCAGCGACUGGUUACCAAAACCAUAGGACUUUGCAAAUUUUUUAAAAAGUAUAAGGUCUGACGCCUGCCCAGUGCUUAAAAAUAAUAAGUUGAAGUAUUAGCUUUAUCUUUAAAAGUAAGUAAACGGCGGUUCUAACUAUAAGAAUCCUCAGGUAGCGAAACUCCUUGACGGGUAAAUUCCGUCCUGCAUGAAUGGCGUAACGACUGCUUUACUGUCUCAAAUAUAAAUUCAGCGAAAUUACAACACCUGUGAAAAUGCAGGUUACUUACAGCAAGACGGAAAGACCCUAGAUCCUUUACUUGAUUUUCAUAUUGUAAGAAUUAUGAACUCGUAUAGCAUAGGCGGCAGUUUAAACGUCCUUGAAAUACCGCCCUGUUUAAAUAAUAUCUUACUUAUUUAUCCAUACUACUAAAGAAACUAUGAGAAAGAAAGUUUACUUGGGACGAGUACCUCCUAAAAAGUAACGGAGGUGUACAAAGGUAAGUUGUAAAUGUAUAAUGGCUCAAGCUUACUUGACUUUAAGAUUGAUAAAUCGAACUGAGAUACAAGUCAGUCAUAAUGACCCGAUAUUUAAGCGUGGAAUUUAAUAUCGUUUAACAGAUAAAAGGAACUCUAGGGAUAACAGAUUCAUCGUGAUUGCGAGUUCAUAUCUAUGUCACGGUUUGAUACCUCGAUGUCGACUCAUCUUAUCCUGGAGUUGAAGUAAACUCCAAGGGUCUAGUUGUUCGCUAGUUAAAAAGGUACGUGAGUUGGGUUCAGAACGUCGUGAGACAGUUCGGUCCCUAUCUGCUGUAAGAGUUGAAAAAUAAGGGUUCUUUUUUCUAGUACGAGAGGACCGAAACAGCUUAACCUCUGGUCAAUUGAUUGUUAAACCAUUAGCAUAGUCAAAUAGCCAAGUUAGUCUUAUAUAAAUACUGAAAGAAUCAAAAGUAUUAAGAUAAACCCUAAAUUUUUCGAGAAUAUUCUAAAAGAUUAUUAGAUUGAUCGAUUUAAAAGAUGUUUUUAGCAAUAAAAAUUUUUAAUAAACACGAAAAUAUUCAAUAAAAUAUUUUA